CCCUUAGACGUUCUGGGCCGCACGCGCGCUACACUGACCAGUGCAACAAGCAUCCGUCCUUGGCCGACAGGCCCGGGCAAUCUUUGAACGCUGGUCGUGAUGGGGAUAGACUUUUGCAAUUUUUGGUCUUCAACGAGGAAUUCCUAGUAAACGCAAGUCGUCAACUUGCAUUGAUUACGUCCCUGCCCUUUGUACACACCGCCCGUCGCACCUACCGAUUGAAUGGUCCGGUGAAGCCUCCGGAUUGGCGCGCACCCCGGUGCCGCCGAGAAGUUGGCUAAACCUUACCAUUUAGAGGAAGGUGAAGUCGUAACA
rnacentral:rRNA from 1 species